GAACCAGAUCCCGGGGUUGUUCCAGAAUAGCGGGGGUUGGAUAUCCCUCGUGAAUCUCGCAGGCAUCAACUGCGAAGACUAAACACUCCUCGAGACCGAUAGCGAACAAGUAGCGUGAGCGAACGCUGAAAAGCACCCCGAACAGGGCGGUGCAAUAGGGCUUGAAAUCAGUUGGCGAUAGAGCGACGUGGCAUACAAGGUCACUCGACGAAAGAACUGGGAGCGAUCCCGUAGUAUGACUCGAGUGAAGCCGAUGUUACGUCGUGCGUUUUGAAAAACGAACCAUGGAGUGCAUCUGACUGGCGAGUCUAAGGGGAGAACCCCCGGAGGCAUAGGGAAACCGAUACGGCCGCAGUCUUUGACCAGGGCCACCGUCUUCAAGGGCGGGGAGCCAACCGGAUGCGACCCGAAACCAAGUGAUCUACGCCGGAGCAGGGCGAAGCGUGGCGAAAGCUGCGUGGAGGCCCGUUAGAGUUGGUGUCCUACAAUACCCUCUCGUGACUCUGGUGUAGGGGGGAAAGGCCCAUCGAACUUGGCAACAGCUGGUUCCAACCGAAACAUGUCGAAGCAUGACCUCUGAUGAGAUAGUUCGUGAGGUAGAGCGACCGAUUGGGAAUCCGGACUCCGAGAGGAGUUCGCUUCCCUGUCAAACUCCGAACUUACGAACGUCGUAGACUCAGGGAGUCCGGUGUGCGGGGUAAGCUUGUGCACCGUGAGGGAGACAACCCAGAGCCAGGUUAAGGACCCAAAGUGUGGAUUAAGUGUGAUUGAAGAUUGUCUCGAGCCCUAAACAGCCGGGAGGUGAGCUUAGAAGCAGCUACCCUCUAAGAAUAGCGUAACAGCUUACCGGCCGAGGUUCGAGGCGUCGAAAAUGAUCGGGACUCAAAUCCACCUCCGAGACCUGGCGGCGUGUCAUACGACACGAUUCCGUAGGUUGGCAUACUGCAUGGGUGGAAGCACGGGNCUCGUGUGGACCGUGCAGCAACGAAAAUCAUGGUCUCAGUAGCAGCGAGAGUCGGGUGUGAACCCCGACGGCCUUACGCGCAAGGGUUCCUCGGCACUGUCAAUCAGCCGAGGGUUAGUCGAUCCUAAGUCUAACCGUAAUUCGAAUUAGAUGAAAGGGAAACUGGUUAAUAUUCCAGUACCUUCUUGCACCAAACGUCGACGCUUUAGGAAACACCGAGCGGGGCCUUCGCCCCGUCGAAUCACCGAACUUCGUGGAAGCCGUAACGGCACGAAGCGAACGAAUGGUGAGACAGGGAAACUCGGCGGUACCUAGAGCCCGUGAAAAGACAAGCAAGAAGCUCGUACCGAGAUCCGACACAGGUGCGCUGGCAGAGCAAGCCAAGGCCUGUCGGGAUCAACCGACGUUAGGGAAUUCGGCAAGUUAGUCCCGUAAGUUCGCGAUAAGGGAUGCCUGCUCUUGACCGAGCAGGUCGCAGUGACUCGGACGCUCCGACUGUCUAGUAACAACAUAGGUGACCGCAAAUCCGCAAGGACUCGUACGGUCACUGAAUCCUGCCCAGUGCGGGUAUCUGAACACCUAGUACAAUAGGACGAAGGACCCGUCAACGGCGGGGGNCCGCAAGGACUCGUACGGUCACUGAAUCCUGCCCAGUGCGGGUAUCUGAACACCUAGUACAAUAGGACGAAGGACCCGUCAACGGCGGGGGUAACUAUGACCCUCUUAAGGUAGCGUAGUACCUUGCCGCUUCAGUAGCGGCUUGCAUGAAUGGAUCAACGAGAGCGUCACUGUCCCAACGUUGGGCCCGGUGAACAGUACGUUCCAGUGCGGAGUCUGGAGACCCCCAAGGGGAAGCGAAGACCCUAUAGAGCUUUACUGCAGGCUGUCGCUGAGACGUGGUCGCUAAUGUGCAGCAUAGGUAGGAGCCGUUACACAGGUACCCGCGCCAGCGGGCCACCGAGGCAACAUUGAAAUACUACCCGUUAGUGACUGCGACUCUCACUCCUGGCGGAGGACACCGGUAGCCGGGCAGUUUGACUGGGGCGGUACGCGCUCGAAAAGAUAUCGAGCGCGCCCAAAGAUUUCCUCACGCGAGUCGGGAACUCGUGGAAGAGCGCAAGAGCAAACGGAAGUCUGACAGUGACAUUCCCAACGAGUGUCGCUGACGCGAAAGCGUGGUCUAGCGAACCUACGAGGUUCAUUCAUGGGACCCGUAGAUGACAGAAAAGCUACCUUAGGGAUAACAGAGUCGUCACCGGCAAGAGCACAUAUCGACCCGGUGGCUUGCUACCUCGAUGUCGGUUCCCUCCAUCCUGCCUGUGCAGAAGCAGGCAAGGGGGAGGUUGUUCGCCUAUUAAAGGAGGUCGUGAGCUGGGUUUAGACCGUCGUGAGACAGGUCGGCUGCUAUCUAUUGGGGGUGUUAAGGAACUUGACGUGAACGUUCGUAUAGUACGAGAGGAACUACGAAUGGGUGCCACUGGUGUACCGGUUGUCCGAGAGGGCAGAUGCCGGGCAGCUACGCACCACGGGGUAAGAGCUGAACGCAUCUAAGCUCGAAACCCACACGGAAAAGAAGUUCCACUGAGGACACUCGUAGAAGACGAGUUCGAUAGACUCGGGG
rnacentral:rRNA from 1 species